UUCAUAAUAGAUUAUUUAGGUUUUUCGAUGAAAUACCGAAAAUUAAAAGGGAAUCUGGUGAAAAUCCAGAACGGUCCGGCCACUGUAAGUGGGGAGUGAUCCUUCAACAUGCCACUGUUCAAUACUAGCUCAAGUAUAGGAUGGGAAGGUGAAGGCAAGCUAUGAUCCAUAAGUCAGGAGACCUGCCUAGAUAACUUUACAUUG
rnacentral:ncRNA from 2 species